AUUGCAGCAGCCAACAGGGAAGGGAGAGGAGCAAGAGACGGCAUGCUGAGCGGAGGGCAAGAGAAUGGUUGACUGCAAUCUCAUCUAGAGCCCAGCCAGCAUUCAAGUUGUACAGUGGAUAUUUGUCAGCCAGAGCACGCUAAAGGAAAGAUGAGAAGGACUCUAUGCCUGCCUUUCCAAGGUGAAGUUGGUACAGUUCAUACAAGUGGAAAAAUGACAUUGUUCACUGCCCAUUGAGAUCAGGCAAGCUCUUUAAAAAAGACUUAAAAACAUGGCUCUUCCGCUGUGCUUUUGCUCUCCAGUAUGAAUCAAUGAUCAACUUUCACCAGUAAAUUAUUUUGGCCCUUGAAUUCUCUGAAGAAUCGAGAAAUGCCUAGAGAAGUGUUCUGUCAGGGUGUGAAGGAGCUUUACCAAAUGGGAAACCUGGGACAAGUCUAUACUGGCACGAAAACCCAGACUCCUGGCAGUCAUCACUCCUUCCAGUGAAUAUCAUAGAUAAUUCCUGGUAAACUCACUUUGCCCUGCUUCGGGACAAGUCAGGAGAUUCCUUGGAGUUUGCUUGUCCUACAGCUUUGGGGCAGAGUGGACAUCUAGGCCAAGUCUGAUUCAGACCAGUCUACUGUCCACAUAGAACACCAUCAUAAUCACUUUUUUUGUGUUCUUGUCAGUGAAGUGAAAAGUGAAUGGAUUUUACAAACUGGUGGUUUGGACUAAAUGUGGUUUUUCUGUCUUAUGAUUUCCACUUCUAUAGCCCUUUGUUGGGCUUUAAUUGCCAUCCCUUGCAGUUAGUACAGCCAAUGGUUCUGGCCCAAUUUACUUGUCCGAACGUAUCUUCUCUUAUGAACUAUCUAGAGUCUUAAGAUCAUCUGGAGAGGCCCUGCUCUCAGUCCCACCUGCUCUCAGACCCACUCGCAAGCACGGCUGGUGGGAACGAGGGACAGGGCCUUCUCGGUGCUGGCUCCCCGGCUGUGGAACACUCUCCCUAGAAACAUCCGACAAGCCCCAACUCUUAUGGGCUUUAGAAAAGCUUUAAAGACAUGGUUGUGUGCACAAGCAUUUAAUGAAUAAACAUUUGAGUCAACAUGGUCUGAAUCAAGGUUUACGCAUGAGGUUACGGAUGAAUGGAUUCAUAUAUAUAUAUAUAUAUAUAUAUAUAUAUAUAUAUAUAUAUGUUUUUAAAUGUUAUAAUGUGUUUUAAUAGUGUUAUUAAUUGAUUUGUAUGUAUUGUUUUGAUUUUAAUUAUUAUGUUAUGGGCAUUAAAUUUUUGCCGACUUCUGUAAGCCGCCUUGAGUCCCCUUGGGUGAGAAAGGUGGGGUAAAAAUGCUGUAAAUAAAUAAAUAAAUGGUGAACCAUUAUGGGACAUGCCAUCCAGCAACAUCUAGAGCAGUGGUUCUCAACCUGUGGGUCCCCAAAUGUUUUGGCCUUCAACUUCCAGAAAUCUUAACAACUGGUAAACUGGCUGGGAUUUCUGGGAGUUGUAGGCCAAAAGACCUGGGGACCCACAAGUUGAGAACCACUGGUUUAGAGGGCCACACUACACACAAACUGGAAACAGAGAAACCAUAGUUAUAUCCCGAAAUGUUCCUGAUAGUGGCCAUCAGAUGAUACCAGACACACAAUUUCUUAGUAUAAAACUCUUUGACCAGAUGUUUCUUCUGAAAACAGUUGACUACCCAUUGCUUCAUUAGAAUCAUAGAAUCAUAGAAUCGUAGAGUUGGAAGAGGGCCACCCAGUCCAACCCCCUGCAAGAAGUAGGAAAAUCUCAUUCAAAGCACCCCCGAGAGAUGGCCAUCCAGCCUCUGCUUAAAAGCCUCCAAAGAAGGAGCCUCCACCACAGCCCGGGAAAGAGAGUUCCACUGCCGAACAGAGGUUUGAAUUCCCCCCCCCCCCCAAAAAAAAAUGCCUGCUAGUCUUUCUGUGACCAAAAUCCUCAAGGAGAGUUGAGAGGACACAUUAAAAAGCACUUAUCUAUGCAAUGUGCAUCAAAAUUUUAUGGGUUUAUUAGCCCUUCCAUCAAUGUGUGCAGCUGGAGGACCUUUUAUGACCUGCAUUUUGGGCAGGGGUUAGAGGGACAAGAUUUAAAUCAUGCAGAUUGUGGCUCAUGCAGCUCUUUUAACAAGGCACGGCCUUUGGAUUUAAUGCUCUGAUGCACCUGGAUAAACUCAAAUUAAGAACCUCAGCCAUGAUGCACCCACAAGCAGAAACUGUUUCAGGGAGGCUCCUUCAUUUGCAAGAAGAUGACAACACGGCAUCAAAAGGAAAAUGACUGAAGGUGCAUUUACACCGAUCAUAUAACACAACCUGAAGCUGGAUGGAGGUCGGGGUGGCACAAAACAUAUCAUUCCAACGUACACUGCAGCGUGCAUUAAACCCAAAACAGUGUGUUUUAAAAAAAACCUUCACCAGACAGUUCAAAAUAAGUUUUUUUUUAACUGUAGCUGAUCAGAAUAUAUCCUACGCAGGCUCAAAUCUGAAACUGAAAAAUGUGUAGCACUUUCACAGAGGUUGGAAAAUUCUAUACCAUAUCAUUCAGGGAGGUAAAGCCACUGUCUGCAAAGCUGUUUUUGGCAAUCCACAAUCCCUGCAGAUUCUCCAAGCCAUACUCAUUCAACAAAUACCUAUUUCUGAAAACCAGAGUUCUAGUACCUUCCAAAGCCACAUUUAUCUUUCUUUUUCUGGAAAUGUUGGCAGUCUGUGAGGCCACCAGAAAAUCCCAGGACAGAAAAUUGGGACCUAAUGUAAUUGUCCCCUCACUGUGUUCUAUUUUCUCUACUGAAGUACAGUAUAUUAAUAUUUUAAUAAUAAAAUAUUGUAACAUGUGAACCAACUCAAAUAAUUAUUGUAAUACAGUAGAGUCUCACUUAUCCAACACUCACUUAUCCAACGUUCUGGAUUAUCCAACACAUUUUUGUAGUCAAUGUUUUCAAUAUAUCAUGAUAUUUUGGUGCUAAAUUCAUAAAUACAGUAAUUACUACAUAGCAUUACUGCGUAUUGAACUACUUUUUCUGCCAAAUUUGUUGUCUAACAUGAUGUUUUGGUACUUAACUUGUAAAAUCAUAACCUAAUUUGAUGUUUAAUAGGCUUUUCCUUAAUCCCUCCUUAUUAUCCAACAUAUUCGCUUAUCCAACAUUCUGCCGGCCCGUUUAUGUUGGAUAAGUGAGACUCUACUGUACUUGAAAAAACACUUAACAUCCCGCUUUCUGUUCAGUGACUGGUCUCUGUGGGAUUUCCAGCCUGACAGGAGCAGAAAAGGUAUCCUGGCCAUCAUACAUGCUUGAGAAGCAAUACAGAAAAUUGUAAUCAAACAAACUAAUGAAGCUGCCUGUUUCAGAGGGUAAUCAAUUGUGUGGGAAAUAUGUAGUAAUAAAGCAAAGCUAUG